rnacentral:rRNA from 1 species
UACAGAGGGUGCGAGCGUUGUCCGGAAUUACUGGGCGUAAAGGGCGCGUAGGUGGCCUGAUAAGUAGGGGGUGAAAUUCCGUGGCUCAACCACGGAACUGCCUUCUAAACUGCCAGGCUUGAGCACGGUAGAGGCAGAUGGAAUUCCCGGUGUAGCGGUGGAAUGCGUAGAGAUCGGGAAGAACACCAGUGGCGAAGGCGGUCUGCUGGGCCGUUGCUGACGCUGAUGCGCGACAGCGUGGGGAGCAAACAGG